AGCAGCGUGGCUCAGUGAAAAGAGCCCAGGCUUGAGAGUCAGAGGUCAUGGGUUCGAAUCCCAGCUCUGCCA
rfam:Ornithorhynchus anatinus chromosome 2, whole genome shotgun sequence.